GAUGAAGAACGUAGUGAAAUGCGAUACUUGGUGUGAAUUGCAGAAUCCCGUGAACCAUCGAGUCUUUGAACGCAAGUUGCGCCCGAAGCCAUUAGGCCGAGGGCACGCCUGCCUGGGCGUCACACGUCGUUGCCCCCCCAUCUACUCCUUCGGGAUUGCGGGGGGCGGAUGAUGGCCUCCCGUGCGCCUCGUCGCGCGGUUGGCAUAAAUACCAAGUCCUCGGCGACGCACGCCACGACAAUCGGUGGUUGCGAAACCUCGGUUGCCCGUCGUGUGCGGUCGUCGCGCAUCGAGGGCUCGAAAAAAUUGCCGGGCUCCGGCUCGGCUUUCAACGCGACCCCAGGUCAGGCGGGGUUACCAGCUGAAUUUAAGCAUAUCAAUAAGCGGAGGA
rnacentral:misc_RNA from 1 species